AUUGAACGCUGGCGGAAUGCUUUACACAUGCAAGUCGAACGGCAGCACGGGGCAACCUGGUGGCGAGUGGCGAACGGGUGAGUAAUACAUCGGAACGUGCCCAAUCGUGGGGGAUAACGUUUCGAAAGGAACGCUAAUACCGCAUACGCCCCAAGGGGGAAAGCGGGGGAUCUUCGGACCUCGUGCUAUAGGAGGAGCCUGCGUCGGAUUAGCUAGUUGGUGAGGUAAAGGCUCACCAAGGCGACGAUCCGUAGCUGGUCUGAGAGGAUGAUCAGCCACACCGGAACUGAGACACGGUCCGGACUCCUACGGGAGGCAGCAGUGGGGAAUAUUGCGCAAUGGGCGAAAGCCUGACGCAGCCAUACCGCGUGUGUGAAGAAGGCCUUCGGGUUGUAAAGCACUUUCAGUGGGGAGGAAAAGCUGGUGGCUAAUAUCCAUCGGCCGUGACGCUACCCACAGAAGAAGCACCGGCUAAUUCCGUG
rnacentral:rRNA from 1 species